rnacentral:lncRNA from 1 species
GGAAUUUCAGUCCUGGCAUGAGAGACACGCCGAGUGUUCAAGCUCUCCAACCUCUGCUUUGCUUCAACUGGACACGUUCAAACGCACAAGAGGUGAGUAUUACGAACAGUGUUGCGUUGCAUGAAUUAUCAACAUGCAAGUGUAAAGGCUCGUACGAUUACGAUAAACAUUUUUUAAGAGCAAGUUUACAUGUAGGCUAACCUGAAGUUCAGACCCUAAUCNNNNNNNNNNNNNNNNNNNNCUUCGAAUUUCUUUUUCUUUUAUGCUUUAUGGCAGAAAAUAAAUCAAACAAACAGUAUUUUGAAAGGGCUUUAUCAAAAUCUUGGACGAUUUUUGGACACACGACGCCGAAAGAACAGCCAAACUAGUCAUGUAUUCGAAAGCUUGUUGUUGACAGCCAAGAUGUUCUGCCAACUGGCUUCGCCGG